rnacentral:rRNA from 1 species
UACGGGCAGACUAGAGUGUGGUAGGGGAGACUGGAAUUCCUGGUGUAGCGGUGGAAUGCGCAGAUAUCAGGAGGAACACCGAUGGCGAAGGCAGGUCUCUGGGCCAUUACUGACACUGAGAAGCGAAAGCAUGGGGAGCGAACAGGAUUAGAUACCCUGGUAGUCCAUGCCGUAAACGUUGGGAACUAGGUGUGGGUCUCAUUCCACGAGAUCCGUGCCGCAGCUAACGCAUUAAGUUCCCCGCCUGGGGAGUACGGCCGCAAGGCUAAAACUCAAAGGAAUUGACGGGGGCCCGCACAAGCGGCGGAGCAUGCGGAUUAAUUCGAUGCAACGCGAAGAACCUUACCAAGGCUUGACAUACACCGGAAUCACUCAGAGAUGGGUGCGUCUUCGGACUGGUGUACAGGUGGUGCAUGGUUGUCGUCAGCUCGUGUCGUGAGAUGUUGGGUUAAGUCCCGCAACGAGCGCAACCCUCGUUCUAUGUUGCCAGCACGUGAUGGUGGGGACUCAUAGGAGACUGCCGGGGUCAACUCGGAGGAAGGUGGGGAUGACGUCAAAUCAUCAUGCCCCUUAUGUCUUGGGCUUCACGCAUGCUACAAUGGCCGGUACAAAGGGCUGCGAUACCGCGAGGUGGAGCGAAUCCCAAAAAACCGGUCUCAGUUCGGAUUGGGGUCUGCAACUCGACCCCAUGAAGUCGGAGUCGCUAGUAAUCGCAGAUCAGCAACGCUGCGGUGAAUACGUUCCCGGGCCUUGUACACACCGCCCGUCAAGUCACGAAAG